rnacentral:rRNA from 1 species
UUUUAGUGGCGAACGGGUGAGUAACACGUGAGGAACCUGCCUUUAAGAGGGGGAUAACACUUAGAAAUAGGUGCUAAUACCGCAUAAGACCACAUAGCGGCAUCGCUGAGGGGUCAAAGGAGGAAUCCGCUUAAAGAUGGCCUCGCGUCCGAUUAGGUAGUAGGCGGGGCAACGGCCCACCUAGCCGACGAUCGGUAGCCGGACUGAGAGGUUGAACGGCCACAUUGGGACUGAGACACGGCCCAGACUCCUACGGGAGGCAGCAGUGGGGAAUAUUGGGCAAUGGGGAAACCCUGACCCAGCGACGCCGCGUGAGGGAAGAAGGUUUUCGGAUUGUAAACCUCUGUCUUCGGGGACGAUAGUGACGGUACCCGAGGAGGAAGCCACGGCUAACUACGUGCC